UACAGAGAGUGCAAACGUUGUUCGGAAUCACUGGGCUUAAAGCGCACGUAGGCGGCACUGUAAGUGUCGGGUGAAAUCCCACGGCUCACCCGUGGAAUUGCCCGGCAGACUGCGGUGCUCGAGUGUGGUAGGGGAGAGCGGAACCCCUGGUGGAGCGGUGAAAUGCGUAGAUAUCAGGAGGAGCACCGGUGGCGAAGGCGGCUCUCUGGUCCACAACUGACGCUGAGGUGCGAAAGCUAGGGGAGCAAACGGG
rnacentral:rRNA from 1 species